CCCAAUAGUCAAACCACAACAUAAAUUCUACAAGCUUCAAAAUCAAAUAAUAUAAACUCAAUUUCCUCUGCAAAAUUAUACAAACCCAGCAUAAAUUUAUUAACAAUACAAACUUAGAUUGGGUUCUGCCCAUGAAAUCCCCUUUCAAUGCUGACUUCACAUCCAUCAUAUACCUUCAUGUGGAUCUCCAAUCACAUCCUCAACUUGCAAAGCCACCAAUGAUGCCUUCUCUCAUCUGGCAUGAAACAGCCGAGCUUAGGGUUUAUCCAGGUUCAAUAAAUCAUGAAAGAGAUGAGACAUUCUUCU
rnacentral:misc_RNA from 1 species